rnacentral:rRNA from 1 species
UUAUACAAUAAAUGUUAUUUAAUGUUUUUGGUAUUGAAGUUAAUAUUUUUUUGAGUUUAUUUAUAUUAUUUUUAGGUGAAAUUUAAAUAGUUAUUAAUCUUAUUUAGAUUCUUUUAAAAUUAAAAUUUAAACUGGGAUUAGAUACCCCAUUAUUUUGAUUGUUAAUAAUGUCCUGGGUAGUAAUAGUUAUGUUCUUUAAACCUAAAGGAUUUGGCGGUGUUUUAGUUUAUUUAGAGGAAUUUGCCUUGUUAUCGAUAGUCCUCGUUUUAUCUUUCUUAUAUUUGUAUUCAGUAUGUAUACCGCCGUUAUAAGUUUAUUCUUUUAGGAUUAAUAUUUACUUUAAUAUAUUUUUAUUUAUUUCA